GGCCUUCUGGAGUGUCCUCCUGACAGCAACUGGCCUUUCCCAGAGAGAGUGAUCCAACAGAGAGAGCAAGUAGGAUAUAGCUGCGCCUUUCAUGACAGCCUCAGAAGCCACAAAUCACCGUGUCUGCUAUGUUUUAUUCAUCAGAAGACCUCAGAUGGACAGAAUUCAACUCAUCACAUUUCUUGGUUCUUGACACGCUCUCCUCGUUAGUCCAUCACAUAUUGCACGGAUUCAUUCAUAUCGCUGCAUGUAGGCUGCUUUGACCUGCUGUAGAAUAUCUCAUUGUGUGGAUGCACAUGUGGAUCACUGAGUAUGUCAGAGCUGGCAAGAUACGUCAGAAGAGAAAGGAGAAACUCUUAACUAAAUAGAGUUGGAAAUAAAAUAAUUGUCUGUAUGGAAUAAGAUCAAAGGUCCCACAUGUUAAAGUCAACCCCAGAUGAAUUAAAGUCUUACAUGUCAAAAAAAAUUGAAACUUUUAGAAGAAAAUUAAGGUGGAUAUAUUUUAGACCUUAAGGUAGAGAAAGAUUUCUUAAAGAAGACACUUACAGGAUUGAUUACAAACAAAAAGACUGGUACAUUUGAAUGUAUUAUGUUAAGAACUUUUCCACCAAAAGAAAGCCUCGAUUUCCUCAUUUUUAAGAUGAGGAUAAUAAUCCCUACCUUAUAGAAUUCUAAUAAGAUGAAAUGAAGCAACAUAUACAAAAUACUUAGCACAGAUCCUAACACCUACAAAAUAAUAAAUGGUAACGAUUAUUAUUCUUCUCAAACAACAAUCCUAUUAUUUAUCAAAUAAUACUGAGUAAUAUGACAAGACAUAUUUAAACCACACAAGCCAUAUGCAGACAAGUGUUUAAUAUCAUAGUGAUAGUUUCAAGAGAGAGAUAAUAAUUUAUUCUACAUUUAUCAGAGGUCUAUAGCCCAGUAGUCAAUAAAUACUUAUCUAUAGUCAAUAAGUACUAUCAAGCAUCCAUGCCAGGAACCAUGCUAGGGGCUGAUUAAUUUACAUCAAUCACCAUGACUUUUUUCCCACAAACUAACACACACACAAUCUUCAUAGAUUUUUCUGUGAUCACAGCAAGGAAAAGACCUACGCAUGUUUGGAUCAUCUGUGUACAGUCCUACAGAAGAACUUUGACACUAUCAGAGACAGAAAUCUCAGAAUAGUCCAACUCUCACUUAUUUGUGCUAAUGAAAGAGUAAAGUAAAAGAGACAAUUAAAAUGGGAAA
rnacentral:lncRNA from 1 species